AUGUACAUGCAGAGGCCGAGUCCCACGCCACACACUCACCACCAGGGGCCGGGCCACCCACACCACCCUGGCAGCUCCCUCACACCCCCAUGCUCCAGCACAGAAGGCUGCCCUGGUCCAGCUCUCUAUGCUGCCUCGAUUUCCCCCUUUCUAGGUCUUGCUUGGGAUGAAGGUCACGGCACACCAGAUGUCUGCACACACCAGAGCAGAGCGGGGCCGCCUGGAGCCGCUUCCCACCAACCAGGGCUGCAGCCAGGCAGGAAGCCUGCUGUUGGCCACUUCGCUUUCAUUCCACGAGCACAGAAGGAACACCCGCUCUCGGGCAGUCCCUGCCCCCUGGUGCUAAGGUUCUGGAGAGAGACGAGACCGGGAGGCAGGCAGUGCCCGUGUGUGCGGGGGCAGGAAGCCUCAGCGAGCAUAUGGCCGAGCAGAUCUCGGGAAGAGCUUUCCAGGCAGAACUGUCCGUGCAAAGGCCCUGGGGCAGAAGUGCUCAGACACACCAGGGGGCUGAGGGCAGAGGUCUGGGGUCAAGCUGGGGCUGGAGGGUGGGAGGGGCCCCUGGGAGGGGGUGUCCUGGCUCCUGGCGGCUCUUCCAGGGCAGGGACCUGGGCUGCUCCACUUUCACACGUCCGGGGUUUCCCCAGGAACCUUCUCUGUGGCAAGAAGCCUGUCCUGGAAAGUCCCAGACCACAGGUCAACGAGGAAAAGUCAGCUCCGGGCUGCGGCCGGGCCAGGCCUGUGCCCUGUGGUGCUCUCAAGGCCGGGACCAGCGACCCUGCGUCCUGCUCCAGCCCCUCUGUGGGUGCAGGAGGUUGGGGGCUGCCCUCCCAGGAAGCACCACUGAGGCCUGGGCUCUCAGGCUGCCCACAGGCCUCUCCCGCUGAGGCAGCGGGGACAGCAGCGCCACAGCCGCAGCCCCCGUUCACCCCUUUCCCAAGCCCUCUGCCCUUAGGCGUGCAGCCACCCCCAAGAGUGCCAGGCUUGGGGUCCUCAGUGUGGAGCCAAGGGGCCCGGGCAGGGCAGACGUGGGAAACUGGAGUCCAGGGAGGAGCAGGCUGGGAGGGUGAGAGGUGGCCUGGGCACUAG
rnacentral:lncRNA from 1 species